GAAAGAUGGCUGAGCUGGUCUAAGGCGCACGACUGGAAAUCGUGUAGGCGUUAAUAGCGUCUCGAGGGUUCGAAUCCCUCUCUUUCC
rnacentral:tRNA from 1 species